AAUAUAGUACUUUUAUUCUACACAUUCUGGCCUUAAACAGUGUAACGAUAAACAUUUACAGAACUCACAAAAUAAACUAGUUUUAAAAUCUCCAUCACUUAUUCAUCCAUUUAACCUGUCAGAACAUUCAAGAAACAGUAGGCGGUGGUGGCAAGUAACUCCUUUUGCAGACAAGUGACAUUAUAAAUUGAAUGAACACAAUCAACAUAAUUCUUCAGAACUGAAGGCCAAAAACAGAUCAUGGUCGCCACUUGCAUGGUCCGCAGAAUUUUAUCUAGUGAUUCCUCUUUCAAAUCAAUUUCAGCUGAGUUCGACGCUUCAGAGAGAAGGAAAAAACAUGCCCAAACCUCAAGUAUGAGGACUAACUGCAUACUCAGGUCAUUCACAUUCACACUGGUACUAGAACAAAGCUCUAUUACUCCAUGGGAAGCCCAAGGAGUAUCAGUGAUUCAAAGAGGCCAGAGCCCUCCAAAAGCUAACUGCCUUCACAGAACAAUCCAUGCCAUCCCAGACCUCAGGUCAGUGUAGUGUCCCCUCCUCAAAGCUAGCAGAGAUUCCCUUUUCCAAACCAGAACAUGCUGUGCCUCACUAAAAUCUGUAGUCAUCCAUACUUCAUGGCAAUGUCCAAAGAAUGAGACUGAGAUUUCCUCAAUUUGGAGACAUUGGAGAAUAGGGCUCUUGGAGACAUUUUUGAGAAAAGUCUACGGUGAGUUUUCUGCAUUUGCCCUCAGAAACUAGUCUCACUCCCAGCACCACAAAGCAACAGAAUGUGGCUUCCUUUAGGACCUCCAGAUAAACAUGCAUGCAGAAAAGGAAUCCACGCAUGCUGUUUUUGCAGAAGUGAAUAUCAGAGAGCCUCUGUUCAUUGCGUGCUAUCUAGCAAAAAGAAGGCUGAGGUUACAGGAGUCAAUGAGGAAGCACUGGCUCUAUAUUCUACUCCUACACAGGUUAUACCAGAACUCCUCUACAAUAAAACUGGACACUGUUUCAGCAGUAUGCCUCUGGAGAAAUUGUAUUUGGAUUGCUGACAUAUGCUGCUUAGUUCAGAGCUGAGUUAAUGCUACAAAUACCUUGCAGAUGAAUCACAGUAAAGCCCCAGCGUAGCCUCAAGGGACUUGACAUGUUCUGUCUAGAGAUGGACUUCCCUUGGUCUAUUUCAGGGAGAAUUUUUGUACUACAACAUUUUAAAUAACUCUGUACUCCUAUAAAUAACUAUGAACACCAAGAAAAAAACAUUUUUAAAACUACAUGUGUUCGUAAAUUUGAAUCUUUGAUGCCCCCUAGUUAUGUGUCAUUUUAACAUUUGAUUUCAGGAGGGAAAGACAGCAAAUAUCCCAUAAGGAUAAGUCAGUAUGAAUUAUGGAUAACACAGCACUUUUCAAUAACAAGGAAAAGAUCUGGUUAAAAAAAAAAUCACCAAAUGUAUAAUCAUAAAAUGAAUUCUUGAUACACUAAACUAGCUGAGCCAUUUUAUACACUUAAGAAGCCAAGCUCCAGUCAGACAGAUACCGAUCCCUUUGGCAUGAAUUCACCUAUAGGAUUUUCUAUUUCUAUGAAAGAAACUGGGGAAAAAAUAUUUACAACAUAUUUGACUACAUAUAUUAGAAAGCAAUAAAAGCACACAAGCUUUGCAACAACAGUUCCCUUUUUUUCUUUUUUAAACCACAUAGUUGAGAAAAGGAUUGGCUUUUAUUUUUAUUUUUGAGACCUCAGGAAUAGAUGAUCUGCAACAAUGGAAAACAGCAGUUUUCCCUCCCAAAAAAAUACAAAAUGCUGCAAGGGCACUAAGAAACCACCACAGAUACAUCCAUUAGUGCAUGCAUCAGAGAGACAUAGAGGGACUUCUCCACACAAGCAGUCUCACAGCCCAAGGACAUGAUGACAUUCUUUGCUCCUUGUAGGUCCGAGCUCCAAGAACAGCCUAUUUCUAUUGAAACAGCGCUGCUUGAGGGGGCUGAUUUCCAAGCACUCAAGGUCUAGAAGGCUUACAUAUACUUACAACACUGCAGCUGAACAGAUGGUUUUGUGCAGGUAUUGUUGAGCUGCAACAAACAAUAUUUCCUUGUAGAUGUAUACAUCAUAUAACAGGAUAUGUUGCAUUUACUUGCCUUACUCUUCAUAGUUUCUUUAAAUUAGCACCUCCUAAAAUACUCUCUUAUAAGGGUAGGACAGACAGGAAUCUCCAAAAAGAGAU
ensembl:lncRNA